GGCGCAUUAGUAAACUAAUUACAUGGCCUUGUCAAGACCAAAUAAUAGGUGCAACCCCUAUAUGCCCCA
rnacentral:tRNA from 1 species